CGGCGACUGGCAGCCGGGGGUCUUCAUGACCCGCCGGACGUGGUCGUCCAGGAUGCUCUCGGGGUUCUCCUCGUGAGCGUCCCUCGGAGCGGCGCCGCUGAAGGGGCUGUCGGCGUAGCGCGGGUUGUGGUUCUGAGGAAGCACAACAGCAUCCGUCAGAUUCCAGAGAACUAUGCAAGCAGGCAGCACAUUUGACAGAAUUCUUCUGAAGAAGUUUUUAAUAAUUCAUGCAUCUUUGUAUCUCUGCACCACAUCCCGUGUUAGCCGAGUCGACUGGAAGGUACUCGAGGAACCACGUUGUCUCCAUUUGAGGAAAUCAUCGGCAAACAGCAGAUUCCUGACAUACGUGACAUUCUGCUGACCAACAGUCUCCAUGAGCUCACGUACACAAACGUCUUUUUAACGCCAUACAAAGACGCAGACAGGCGAUGACCGUCCCGCUCACAAGGGUCCUUUUGUCAUUGAUUUUCUUUCAUUAAAAGCAUGCUGCUGCUCGGCCCAUGAGAGUUAUCCUGCACACAGCUCAGCCACUCGACCCAGCGUCCCCGAAAUGACGUUAAGUGAAGCCGUGAUUUGAUUCCCAGCGGACUGUGACAGAGCUACGACAAUGAGCAUAGUGACCAAUCAUCUUUUGCUCGGAGCAAUAAAAUGCUUUCUAACCAUUAAACGUCAUGCGAUAUAUGUGAUUUGAAUACGUCUGAUAUUACGGUUGAAAAGCUAAAUACUGAGCUAACAUCUCCUUUUCUGGACGCUCACUUGAUGAAGGAGGACAUUUCAUGUUGCCUCCAGGCGGCACGUUGUUCCGGGCGUGCAGGUGCUCCGUGGGAUUCAUCCACGAAGCCGGCAGGCCGAGCGUGGAAUUCUCCAAGUGAUUCAUGAUGCUUUUUUUUAAAUUCCCCAUUCAAAUGCCCGGCCUCAUUAAUUUCAUUAAGGCCAGAGGGAUUUAAGUCCCGAUGCUACUGGUCUGCUCCUCAAACAGCCCCCCGUGGCAGCAAUUCAUUCUAUUUUUUUAUAAGUAAAGGGCAGCUGCUGGAGGUAAAACAUGGUUUGCAGGCAAUGGCCCUUCUGGCCUACAAGCCCCUCACAUCUUCACAUUCACAAAUGUGAACUAAAAACAAACUAGAAAAGACAAUUUGAAGCAACUCGGGCUUCCUCGAUUGUGAAUCGUCAACAAAUGAAGAUUUGCUGCUUUACUUAGUUUGAACUGUUCAUGUUAAAUGAGGAAUUUGAAGGUCAGGUCGGCUCUGGGAAAUGACCAGUCUAAAAAGGGCAAGUCUACCACAUAUUCUCGGAAAACUAAUUUGAUCAAACGGUUUAAUGGGGAGCCAAACAUCAAGGUUAUUUUUCAUCUGGCCGACAAUAUUAUUAAUAAUAUCGGCUGCCAACUUGGCCUCACAUGACUCGAUGGUGGAACUUUGCGGAGUGAAAGCAGUGCUCCCUUUCCUUCCUUAUCGACGGAGCAUUUGCACAGUGGUUUCUCAUGGAAACCUAUGGACAUACAUGCAUGUUUUAAGGUACUUAUCUGUUAAUUGUUGCUUAAGUAUUUUUAUCUUAUUUUACUUAACUUUCUUAUCCUUAUAUUGCACCAAUGCAAUGCAGUCAAAUUCCUCUGUGUGUAACACGUGUGGCAAUAAACGGCUGUGAUUGAAGGUUA